GGUUAGCCCCGAUUGUAACGGCAUCCUUUUUCUUUUUCCUUUAAAAAGAAAAAGAUAGCGUGGAAAGCGGGACAUCGA
rnacentral:sRNA from 1 species